AUGAGGUUCAGGUGGGGAGAUGCGGAGCUGGGAUUCCAGAAGGUUUGGAUGGAGCAGUGCCUGUGUCCCUGCCCCAAUGAGUCUGUGUGUGUGAUCCAGCCUUCAGGAGAGGAGAGAGAGGCAGGAGCAGCACCCCUGCGGCAGAGACACAUCUCACCUGGGCACCGCUGUCCUGGGGGACACGAAGAGCUGCCUGCCUGAUCAUCAGCUCCCUGCCAGUGUCGCCUCUGCCAGUCCCACCAGAGGAAUCCUCUGGCUCUGGGCAGUGGUGCAGAGGCUCCCCUGUCUCCUCCACGCUGAGUGAAGCUCUCCUGGAGCUGGAGCUGCUGACAAACGUGUUGGAUGCAGCUGUCUGUGUCCAAGGAACGAGCGUGCGAGCAGCACGGCGAGCCAAGGCACGCGGUGGGAGCGAUCCACGGGCAGAAUCUGGGCACGGGCUGGAACAUCUGAUUGGAAGGCUGGGAGGGAAAAGGGAAGGCUGAAUUGUUUAUGGUUUGUUUUUCAUUCAUCAUUCCUGCUUGUGUGGGUGGACAAGGAGUGAAUGAGUUUCUCGGGGAGGGCAGCAAAUAAAAGAGGCACACAUUUCCUUGAAGGAUGAGUAGAUUUUUUUCCUUCCUACUGCCUAGGUGAAUAUGUCACAAAGGGGCUGGAGGGAACCCUAACUGCUUUUCUUCCAGGUGGAGGAAACUACUUGCUCUUGAUUUUUUCCCUUUGAUCACCAUGUGCCAAGAGAUAAAAGGCU